rnacentral:rRNA from 14 species
GUUUGAUCCUGGCUCAGGACGAACGCUGGCGGCGGGCUUAACACAUGCAAGUCGAAGGAGAAGGUAGAAGCUUGCUUUUACUGGAGACUGGCGGACGGGUGAGUAACGCGUAGAUAACCUGCCUAUAGCUGGGGGAUAACACUGCGAAAGUGGUGCUAAUACCGCAUAAUGCAGCGGGGCCGCAUGGCCAUAGUUGUUAAAGGUUUCGGCCGGCUAUAGAUGGGUCUGCGUGCUAUUAGUUAGUUGGUAGGGUAACGGCCUACCAAGGCGAUGAUAGCUAGGGGGUCUGAGAGGAUGAUCCCCCACACUGGUACUGAG